UGGGUUGUGGCUCAGUGGUAGAACACUUGUCUAGUAUAUAUGAGACACUGGGUUUGAUCCCCAGCACCACAU
rnacentral:tRNA from 1 species